GGCCUUAGGUGUACCCCAAAAGUGGAUGAGCCAACUCCAAUCAUCAUCUGAUAAGUGUGGAGGUCGAUGGCACAAUCUCUCCUCAUUUGUAUUAUAAGGGUUAUAAUACUUGGCCUUCAUUUUAUUUCUAUAGCUUCUAAACAAAUUUCCACAACAUUGAAGAAUGUAGCUCUUACAUGUUUAUUCUAGUUCAUAUUUUUCUUGUAUUGCAUUAAAAUCUCAUGUAUAAAUAAGAGGUAUCAUUUUUAAACAAUAACAUUACAAUUUAGAUUGAAUAGUAACUAGCAUAUACCAAUACUAAAGCCCAAAUCUUUUCCUUCACAUCUUCACUAACAUGAUUCCAAUCUUGAACUUGGAUGGGUACAUUGUAUUGAGAUCGCAACAAUGUUCCCAUAUAGCUUGACAAUCUUUCCCCUUUUCCAUCAUAAACAACUUGCCCUCUGGUAUUGAAUCGUGUAGUUUUUUUNNNNNNNNNNNNNNNNNNNNNNNNNNNNNNNNNNNNNNNNNNNNNNNNNNNNNNNNNNNNNNNNNNNNNNNNNNNNNNNNNNNNNNNNNNNNNNNNNNNNUAAUGCAUUUAAAUAAUAUAUGAUAAAGAUAUUAGUUUUAUAUUUAAAUAAUAUAAGAUGGUAAUGAGAUAAAAAUGAAUGUUUUUAUGGUUAUAGGAAUAAAGAAAAAUAAAAUAAAAAAGAUUUCAAUUACUUAAUCAAUAGUAAUCCUAAUUUAAUUCCAAUUAAUAUAAAUCUUUCUUGAAUAUACCAUAAAAAUAUUUAAGUAGUAAAUAAAUACAUGGGUAGAAAGUCUUAUCAUGAGGUGUACCUAUAUAUUAAUUUUAUAUUUAAAUAUUAUAGAAUAUAAUUUUAUAUUUAAUUAAUGUUGCAUUUAAAUAAUAUAUGAUAAAGAUAUUAGUUUUUUAUUUAAAUAAUAUAAGAUGGUAAUGAGAUAAAAAUGAAUGUUUUUAUGAUUAUAGGAAUAAAGAAAAAUAAAAUAAAAAAGAUUUCAAUUACUUAAUCAAUAGUAAUCCUAAUUUAAUUUCAAUUAAUAUUAAUCUUAUUUAUAUCUUUCCUUUCUUGAAUAUACCAUAAAAAGAUUUAAGUAGUAAAUAAAUACAUGGGUAGAAAGUCUUACUUUGGGAUACAUCCAGUCAUGAGGUGUACCCAUAUAUUAAUUUUAUAUUUAAAUAUUAUAGAAUAUAAUUUUAUAUUUAAUUAAUUUUGCAUUUAAAUAAUAUAUGAUAAAGAUAUUAGUUUUAUAUUUAAAUAAUAUAAGAUGGUAAUAAGAUAAAAAUGAAUGUUUUAUGGUUAUAGGAAUAAAGAAAAAUAAAAUAAAAAAGAUUUCAAUUACUAAAUCAAUAGUAAUCCUAAUUUAAUUCCAAUUAAUAUUAAUAUUAUUUAUAUCUUUCCUUUCUUGAAUAUACCAUAAAAAGAUUUAAGUAGUAAUCUGGGAUAGAUAUUAAUUUUAUAUUUAAGAAAUAUAGGAUAUAUUGUAGAGAAUAGAGAUACACAAACAGAUUUUAUAUUUAAGUAGUAAUCUUCAUGAGCUUUACACAAACAAAAAACUUAGAUGUUUACAUCAUUUGGAAGCCCCACUCCGCCUCUCUCUCAGCCCUCAGCCCACACAAACCUUUCUUAUAAUUAUUGUUCAUAGUCAUAGCUACCAAGAAUUCCAAGUUAGGAAGAAAAAAAAAAUCGUAAAUACAGCAAAAAGAACUUCCACUACAUGCUACAGCAGGGGUACCAAAUUAGGGAAAUUAAGAAGUAAACCAUGCCCAAUCAAUUGCUGGGAAAUAUUAUUUGGAUACCAAAUUAGGGAAGCUAUUAAGUGUGGUUUUUGUAGUGUUAAAUCAGAGAGAAAUUUAAUUAUAUUAUGAAUUUCAAAUUUAAUUAUUCUAAGAACAAUGAAUUACUCUAAUAGAAUUUAAUGUAUAAAAACAUUUCAAACACUCACAAUAUAUAUCAUUUUCAAUUUUUCCAAAAGCACCAAAACCCUAUAACAAUGAAAAUAAACCCAAUAACAAUGGAAAUAACCCAAUAACAAUGGAAUCUCAAACCUAAUCACAAAUAUUUCCAAAAUACCAACUAACAAAACCCAAAAAAAAAAAAAAAAAUUCCCAAAACUCACCAAAACCUAGAGAGAUGAUUUUCACGGGAGUUUCUUGGAGGUGGCUUCGGCUUUACUGACCAUAGCUUCCAUGGGGCUUCUUCGGCAUGACUUCC
rnacentral:lncRNA from 1 species